UCGCUGUGAUGACUUCAUUUGGUUUCGCUUGUUGCUGAGUUUCAGUGAUGCCUCUUCUCUUGGCUGUCUGAGCAG
rfam:Erinaceus europaeus unplaced genomic scaffold scaffold00220, whole genome shotgun sequence